GUGUUUGCUACGGCGGCACAUAUUACUACAAUUGGAUCAUACAGAGAAGAUUAGCAUGGCCCUGCGAAAGGAGACACGCAAAUCCAGUGAACGCUCUCUGUUUUG